rnacentral:rRNA from 1 species
CGAACGCUGGCGGCGUGCUUCACACAUGCAAGUCGAACGGAAAGGCCCUGCUUUUGUGGGGUGCUCGAGUGGCGAACGGGUGAGUAACACGUGAGUAACCUGCCCUUGACUUUGGGAUAACUUCAGGAAACUGGGGCUAAUACCGGAUAGGAGCUCCUGCUGCAUGGUGGGGGUUGGAAAGUUUCGGCGGUUGGGGAUGGACUCGCGGCUUAUCAGCUUGUUGGUGGGGUAGUGGCUUACCAAGGCUUUGACGGGUAGCCGGCCUGAGAGGGUGACCGGCCACAUUGGGACUGCGAUACGGCCCAGACUCCUACGGGAGGCAGCAGUGGGGAAUAUUGCACAAUGGGCGGAAGCCUGAUGCAGCAACGCCGCGUGCGGGAUGACGGCCUUCGGGUUGUAAACCGCUUUCGCCUGUGACGAAGCGUGAGUGACGGUAAUGGGUAAAGAAGCACCGGCUAACUACGUG